AAGAGUUCUACAGUCUC
rnacentral:sRNA from 1 species